rnacentral:rRNA from 1 species
UACGUAGGUGGCAAGCGUUGUCCGGAUUUAUUGGGUUUAAAGGGUGCGUAGGUGGCCCUGUAAGUCAGUGGUGAAAUAUCUCAGCUUAACUGAGAGGGUGCCAUUGAUACUGCAGGGCUUGAGUACAGAUGAGGUAGGCGGAAUUGACGGUGUAGCGGUGAAAUGCAUAGAUAUCGUCAAGAACACCGAUAGCGAAGGCAGCGUACCAAGCUGUAACUGACACUGAGGCACGAAAGUGUGGGGAUCAAACAGG